AAUGUGUCUUGGCUAAGGUAUCUUGGCUAAGGUGUCUUGGCUAAUGUGUCUUGGCUAAGGUGUCUUGGCUAAGGUGUCUUGGCUAAUGUGUCUCGGCUAAUGUGUCUUGGCUAAUGUGUCUUGGCUAAGGUGUCUUGGCUUAGGUGUCUUGGCUAAGGUGUCUUGGCUAAUGUGUCUUGGCUAAGGUGUCAUGGCUAAUGUGUCUUGGCUAAGGUGUCUUGGCUAAUGUGUCUUGGCUAAUGUGUCUUGGCUAAGGUGUCUUGGCUAAGGUGUCUUGGCUAAUGUGUCUUGGCUAAUGUGUCUUGGCUAAUGUCUCUUGGCUAAGGUGUCUUGGCUAAGGUGUCUUGGCUAAGGUGUCUUGGCUAAUGUGUCUUGGCUAAUGUGUCUUGGCUAAGGUGUCUUGGCUAAUGUGUCUUGGCUAAGGUGUCUUGGCUUAGGUGUCUUGGCUAAGGUGUCUUAGCUAAUGUGUCUUGGCUAAGGUGUCUUGGCUAAGGUGUCUUGGCUUAGGUGUCUUGGCUAAUGUGUCUUGGCUAAUGUGUCUUGGCUAAUGUGUCUCGGCUAAGGUGUCUUGGCUAAGGUGUCUUGGCUAAGGUGUCUUGGCUAAGGUGUCUUGGCUAAGGUGUCUUGGCUAAUGUGUCUUGGUUAAUGUGUCUUGGCUAAAGUGUCUUGGCUAAGGUGUCUUGGCUAAGGUGUCUUGGCUAAUGUGUCUUGGCUAAUGUGUCUUGGCUAAUGUGUCUUGGCUAAGGUGUCUUGGCUAAGGUGUCUUGGCUAAGGUGUCUUGGCUAAUGUAUCUUGGCUAAGGUGUCUUGGCUUAGGUGUCUUGGCUAAUGUGUCUCGGCUAAUGUGUCU